rnacentral:sRNA from 1 species
AUGUUACAAAAAGCUGCAAUAGAGGAGGUGUCGAUCUUAACUCUGUCUCCGGGAUUUUAUUCCCGUCUUUUUCUGGUUCCAAAGAAGACUGGAGGAAUGAGGCCGGUCAUAGACCUAUCUAUUCUGAACAAAUUUCUUAUUGUUCCCCACUUCAAAAUGGAAACAAACAGAUCCAUCAGGGCUUCAAUCCUUCCAGGAAUGUGGACUACUUCUCUGGAUCUUUCAGACGCGUAUUUCCACAUUCCCAUUUCCCAAACUUACAGGAAAUACCUUCGCUUCGUUUGGAACAACAAAGUUUUCCAGUUCAAGGCUCUCCCUUUUGGCCUGUCUACAGCCCCUUUGGCUUUUACCAAAAUCAUGCAGGCAGCUAUAGCUCACCUACAUUCCCUGUCUAUUCAGAUUCAUUCCUACCUGGACGAUUCCCUUCUCAAGGAAUUUUGCCCAAUCAAAUUGAGGGUUCAGACAGAUUUGGUCAUCAAUUGUUUUCUGUCCCUAGGUUUCCUUAUCUCUUGGAAAAAGUCAGAGAUAAUUCCGUCUCAAGACUUUGUUUUCCUGGGAGAACAUUUCCUAACCAGUGUAGGCCUAGUCCUCCCACCAGAGGAGAAAUUUACAAAACUAUGUCAGAAAAUACAUUUAUUCCUGACGGUUCAAUCAGUCACAGCACGUCAAUUCUUGCAACUUCUGGGUCUAUUGAACUCUCUGGCAGAUGUAAUUCCAUUGGGACGACUUCACAUUCGUCCGCUUCAGUUUUAUCUGCACAAGUUAUGGAUUGCAGCUUCACAAGAAUGGGAAGCAUUGAUUCCAAUCACUCAGCCUUUAUUUCCACACCUUCAAUGGUGGUUAGUACGGGAAAAUGUAAUGAGGGGCCUAUGUCUGUUCCCUCAAGUUCCCAGUCUAACAUUAUUCACAGAUGCCUCCACCCUCGGUUGGGGAGCAUAUCUGGAGGGGCUUACAAUCUCGGGAGUCUGGAGUCCAGAUCUUUUGGAAGAGCAUAUCAAUGUAUUGGAAAUGAAAGCAGUUCUGUUUGCACUGAAUCAUUUCCAAAUGUCUCUAAAGAAUCAGUCUGUCAUUCUGGCCACGGACAAACACAACAGUUGUAGCUUAUCUCAAGAAUCAGGGAGGAACUCAUUCACCUUCUCUUUAUCAGAUAGCCAGAGACAUUCUCCUUCUGUGUUUUCAACUCCAGGUUCAUCUAGUGGUGAGACAUAUUGCGGGGCACCUCAAUAUUCUAGCCGACACUCUAUCCAGAUCCCUUGCUCCAGUAAACACGGAGUGGGAACUACUUCAAGUAGUUUUCAAAGCUGUGACUCUUCAUUGGGGGUCACCUCAGAUAGAUCUGUUUGCGACCAGUCUCAAUCACAAACUUCUAACAUUUGUGUCUCCGGUUCCAGAUCCAAAAUCUUUUGCGGUAGACGCAAUGAGCCUAUCUUGGAAAGGAAUGUUCGGGUACGCCUUCCCUCCUUUCAGGUUUCUCUCCCCAGUACUUCAGAAAAUAGCAGGGGAAAAUUGCAAGAUCAUAGUUAUUGCUCCAGCAUGGCCAAAACAGUCUUGGUUUCCAGACCUUCUGCGCCUUUCAUGUGCUUGUCCUCUAGUUCUACCUCUGAGACCAGACCUUCUGUCUCAAAUCAAGGGCAAGGUUCUUUAUCAAAAUCCAGAAAAACUUCAUCUACACGCCUGGCUUCUCUCAGGGUUAGCCUCAGAAAGAGAGGUUUUUCUGAAGGAGCAACCAAGCAUCUCACAAAGUCUGUCAGAGACUCCACUAGCAUUGUCUAUGAUGCAAAAUGGUCAAUCUUCUCAGAUUGGUGUAGUGAGCGGGAAAUUGAUCCUUUCCAAGUCACUGUACAACAAUUAGCAGACUUUCUAGUUUUUCUUUUUGAAUCCAAAGGAUUAUGUCCCUCUACUAUUAAGGGAUAUAGAUCAGCUAUCUCAAGAACUAUUCAUAUUUCUGGUGGCCCAGAUUUUGGAAUCAAUGAGCAUAUUUCUCUUUUGGUUCGUAGUUUUAGUCUUGAAAGACCAAGACAAAAAACUUUAGUUCCUAAGUGGGACCUUGGACUAGUUUUAUCCUUUUUAAAACUUCCUCCUUUUGAACCAGCAGAAACAAUAGAUUUAAGGUUUCUUUCCUAUAAAUGCUGUUUUCUUUUAGCUUUGGCUUCUGGACGGAGAAGGAGUGAAAUCCAUGCCUUCUCUAUUUCUGAUGCUUGCCUUCGAUUUAACAGGGAUAAAUCUUCUGUUACUCUUUUAACGGAUCCUGCUUUUUUGGCAAAGAAUCAGAUUCCAGAUAAGGGUGCAGAACCAGUUGUGAUUCCUGCACUCCCUAGCGAUUCUAUUUCUGUACUUUUAUGUCCAGUAAGAAUCCUUUCUAUUUAUCUGGAAAGAACGUGUAGUUUACGUUCUGUUUCUAACUCAAGACUCUUUAUUCCUAUUAAAAAAGGAAUCUCAGAUCUUUCUGUUAAAACUAUUUCUACUUGGAUAUGCAAAUGCAUAUCUUUAGCUUAUGGUUCUUCUAAGGCAGAACUUUUAAAUAGUUUUAAUGUUAAAGCUCAUGAUGUUAGGGGUAUCUCUACAUCCUGGGCUCUGUUUAACAGUGCAUCUUUAGAAGAGGUACUGUCUGCAGGUUUCUGGAGAAAUGAGAACUCUUUUAUAUCUCACUACCUCCAAUCUAUGGCUACUUUUGCCGAGAGUUUAUACUCUCUUGGACCUAUAGUUUCAGCACAAAGAUUGAACUUUCCUCCUGUUUCUUCUGUUACAGGGGAUUCAGCUUUACGUUAG